rnacentral:rRNA from 1 species
AUUGAACGCUGGCGGCAGGCCUAACACAUGCAAGUCGAACGAGUGGCGGACGGGUGAGUAAUGUCUGGGAAACUGCCUGAUGGAGGGGGAUAACUACUGGAAACGGUAGCUAAUACCGCAUACCAUCGGAUGUGCCCAGAUGGGAUUAGCUGGUGGGCGGGGUAAAGGCCCACCAAGGCGACGAUCAGUAGCGGGUCUGAGAGGAUGAUCAGCCACACGUGGACUGAGACACGGCCCAGACUCCUACGGGAGGCAGCAGGGGGGAAUUUUGGACAAUGGGCGCAAGCCUGAUCCAGCCAUGCCGCGUGUCUGAAGAAGGCCUUCGGGUUGUAAAGGACUUUUGUCAGGGAAGCGGUACCUGAAGAAUAAGCACCGGCUAACUACGUGCCAGCAGCCGCGGUAAUUC